AGUCAUAAAUUUUAUCUCGUUUUAGACAAUGGACCAGUGCACAACCAUAUAUCUGUUACGAAUCGCUAGCAUUUUGGUUUCAUAAUAAUAUUACAGAAUCAUACCAAAUAGUUUUCUAUAUUCUAUAAAUAGACAUUUGCAUUACAUUUAAAAUAGAUAUUAUUGGAAUGUAAAAGUCCCACAGAGCGUCAUAACAGUAGUUUAUAUCCAGACUAUAAAUACCAACUUGGACAUUCAAACACGUUCACGGUAGUGUUAAAAUACAUUUGAGGAAAAUGACAAAUUUCAGUAAAUUCAGAUUGGUUCUGAUAGGGAAAACCGGAAAUGGAAAAAGCAAAACUGGAAAUACUAUAUUAGGCCAACAACUGUUCGUCUCAGGAUGUCAAAGCGGUUCUCUCACACUAAGAUGUCAGAAAGAAAAAACUAUUAGAUUUGGAAAAGAAAUAAGUCUAGUUGACACACCAGGACUAUUCGAUACCAGAACAGAUAAUGCGAAUGUACUUUCCGAAAUUAAAAAUUGCAUAUCUCUUACUCUACCAGGGCCGCAUGCGAUUAUCUUAUGUGUUCGUAUAGCUCGGUUUACACAAGAAGACAUACAAACUGUUAACUUUUUCAUCAAACAUUUUGGAGAUCAGUUGAUGAAAUAUGUCAUCAUACUGUUUACGCAUUUUGAUGACUGGAAACGCGACAACAAAGAUGAUCCACAAGAAUGUCAAAGUAUAAAUGGAUAUAUCAGCUCGUUGUCAACUGAACUGAAGUCAUUCCUUGGAAAAUGUAAUAACCGAUACAUCGCCUUUGACAAUACUCUCAACGGACCCUCUGCAGAUCAACAAGUACAGGAUCUGAUUGCUUUAGUCGAACGCACAGUUAAGGAAAACGGAGGAACUCAUUAUACUAACUCCCAUUAUAUAGAAGCCGAAAAGAAAGUGAAAGAAGAGGAAGAAAACAGACGAAAACAAGAAGAAAGAGACAGGCAAAAGAGAGAAGAAAAUACAAGACGACAAAUGAAAGAAAAAUUGAAACGUGAACACGAAGAAAAAGAAAAAAAAUUGCAAGCUGAGAAACUUCAAGCUCAGGCUCAAGCAGCUGAAGCUCAAGCAGCUCGAGAUGCUAUAGCUCAAAUUCAUGCAGUUCAUGCUCAUAGAUUUUUUUCACCUUUUUUCCACUGACAGGCGCUUUAUGACGCACUUUCACAAGUAUGAAAUAAUAAAUAUGAUGAAUAAUUACCACUUUAAAUUGUGUUUAUAAAAUUAUGUUUUACGAUACUAUCAAUUACAAAAACAUUUUUUGUUUUU